rnacentral:rRNA from 1 species
GACGAACGCUGGCGGCGUGCCUAACACAUGCAAGUCGAACGGACCAUUCAGAAUAGCUUGCUAGGAAGAAUGGUUAGUGGCGGACGGGUGAGUAACGCGUGGGUAAUCUACCCUUGAAACGGGGAUAACACCGGGAAACUGGUGCUAAUACCGGAUAAACUUAUCACAAGGCAUCUUGAGAUAAGGAAAAGGAGCCUCUAUGCAUAAGCUUCUGCUCAAGGAAGAGCCCGCGUCCCAUUAGCUAGUUGGUAGAGUAACAGCCUACCAAGGCGACGAUGGGUAGCCGGCCUGAGAGGGUGACCGGCCACACUGGGACUGAGACACGGCCCAGACUCCUACGGGAGGCAGCAGUGGGGAAUAUUGCGCAAUGGGGGGAACCCUGACGCAGCAACGCCGCGUGAGCGAAGAAGGCCUUCGGUCGUAAGCUCUGUCAAGAGGGACGAAGUCUAGAUGGUAAUAGCCAGCUAGGUGACGGUACCUAAAGAGGAAGCCCCGGCUAACCUACGUAGCCACG